AUACUCUUCCGCCCAUUUUAGCAUUUGCUUUGGAAAAAACCUGCUGCGCAGGAACGCGGGCAGCUGCCCAAGCCAUGGAAGCCCUGGCGGACCAGGUAUCUUUUGCUCAAGGCGUGGCGGUUGACCAACAGAUGACGUGCGAUGAAACGAGGAACGCAUGUUGCUUUCGAUAUCCGUUUCGGUGUUCGCUAUAGGAAGAGGCUGGAGGCAACACCUGCCGGGAUGCGAGACAUCUACAGGGGAACGUAAGCCCGCAUUUCCACUUUUACCUCUAGAGUUUUGCUUUCUUACAGCACAGAUCUAACCAAAGGUAAAAACAUCGGCCUGACAGUGUAUCGAUUUCAUAUUACAAAAAAGUAAUAGGCCGAUAUGGGACGAGAGAGAGAAUGAGCUCUCCGUCACUCAUUCGUUCGUCCCAUAUUGCCAUAUCCGACCGCACAAUUUAGCAGUAUUCCAGCAGGAUUUCGGCUGGCCGGGGUUACCCCACCGUAAUCCACAUGUGCUCCAAUCCAAAUCCUCGUACACGGUACACGGACUCGCAUUUCCCGCCACCUGCCUUUCCCUUGGCAAUUUCCCCUAACCUGAACCCACCUGCGUGGACCACAUCGCUCGAAGCGUAAUAACCCCACUCCUCCGCCUCCCUUCCCGACCACACGGCCCUUGCCGGGGGCUCCCACAUAACACACCUCGACACCUUGGUAGGGCUUUCAUCCGCAAAUGCAAGCAGGCCAGGUCGCCGCCCUGGCCCAGCAUGACCGCUGGAAAGUCUCUACAGGCGAUCGCGCUGAUUGCCCGUCCUGCACGCGCGCACUGCUGCAUGCUAAAUGGCUCGCGGAACCACCCUCUAUCUCUCUCUUUUCCACCUCCACGCAGCUCGCAGCCAACACGCAGUCGCGGCGAUGUAUGUACCGUUCAUGUGACUGCUGCCAUCGAUUGCUGCCUGACUGCUGUCCGUUGAUACGUACUAGACGGGAUGGCCAUCCCCCUCCAUCCGCAGGUACAGGUAAACAGGCGCUUGGCAUGGGUGACUUCCGUACUUGGCACCAGCAGGUGUUGGUAAAGUCGGCCAAAACCUCCAUCCCGCUUGGUGUUUGGAAAGUCGCUGUUUGGC
rnacentral:lncRNA from 1 species